GCCCCAGUAGCCGAGUUGUUAUCGUGCUCGGAUUACCAGUCCGGCAGUCGUGGGUUCAAUUCUCACCAGAGGCC
rnacentral:tRNA from 1 species